rnacentral:rRNA from 1 species
UACAGAGGUCUCAAGCGUUGUUCGGAUUCAUUGGGCGUAAAGGGUGCGUAGGCGGCGCGGUAAGUCGGAUGUGAAAUCUUGGAGCUUAACUCCGAAACUGCAUUCGAUACUGCCGUGCUUGAGGACUGGAGAGGAGACUGGAAUUUACGGUGUAGCGGUGAAAUGCGUAGAUAUCGUAAGGAAGACCAGUGGCGAAGGCGGGUCUCUGGACAGUUCCUGACGCUGAGGCACGAAGGCCAGGGGAGCAAACAGG